rnacentral:rRNA from 1 species
UACGUAGGGUCCGAGCGUUGUCCGGAAUUACUGGGCUUAAAGCGCACGUAGGCGGCGCCGCAAGUGCGGGGUGAAAUCCCACGGCUUACCCGUGGAACUGCCUUGCAGACUGUGGUGCUAGAGGAUGGUAGGGGAGAGCGGAACUCCUGGUGGAGCGGUGAAAUGCGUAGAUAUCAGGAGGAACACCGGUGGCGAAGGCGGCUCUCUGGUCCAUGACUGACGCUGAGGUGCGAAAGCUAGGGGAGCAAACGGG